GAUUUACAGCAUGUGUACUGCCGUUGUAAGCAUACCUCUAAAAGAAUAAGUGUGCCACUAUGAUUAUAACUCAUAUACAUCAGGUCAAAGUGCAGCCAAUGAAGGGGUGACGAUGGGUUACAACCCAAAAAUAGAUAUCAACCAAGAAAUUAAAAAUCUUACGAAAGUGGACUUGGUCGUAAUUAAUUUACAAGUUAAAAAAAUGAAUAAAAGCCUAAGACAUGUACACAUCGCCCGUCACUCUACCCUAAAGGGUAGAUAAGUCGUAACAAAGUAGGUGUAAUGGAAAUUGCACCUGUCGAAGUAUAGCAUAUAAAAUGCUUUCUACUUACACUAGAAAUAAAGUUAAUACUUACUCCGCCCACGUAAAUAAUUCUUAUAAUACCUAAAUAAUAUAAACAACUAAAUAUUAACUAAUAAUUAAAAGUACAUAAAUGGAAAUAAUAAUAAAUAAUAGUAACUUUUAACAACUGUACCUUGUGCAUUAUGGUUUUACAAGAAAACAAUUAAAAAUGUCUAUCCCGAAUUCUACAUGAGAUGUUAAACUGCCGUUUAAGAACCCAUUAAUAUCUGUAGAAAAAGAUUUAAAAGACGGUUUAACAGGGGCUACAUACCAUUCGCAUAAGAAUAUAUCUGGUUUUCAACAAAAAUUAUAUAUUAAAGCAUAUAACUAUGUUAUAGUGUAAUAUUAUUGAGGAUAAGCCCAAUAAUACAAGCAAUCUAGGUCCAUGUUCACCGUCAACAUAUAGGCCUAAAAACAGCCAACUAAAAUACUUUACCGUAUAGACUACUGACACAAUUCAUAAUAUCAAGUAUGCGAAAUAAAGUUGAAAUAGUGAACAAAUAUAUUAAUUCACCUAUAUUAUAUAAAAAUAAGUAUUAUUAUAUUAUAAAUAUAUAAAUCUAGUAACUACAAUAAAUAACAGAUAAUAAUUAAUUAAGGAACUCGGCAACUCAUUAUUUCGACUGUUUAACAAAAACAUUGCCUCAUGUAUAAAAUAUGAGG
rnacentral:rRNA from 1 species